ACGGCCACAUCACAUUGAAACACCAGUUCCCGUACGAUCACCGAAGUUAAGCAACAUCAAGUCUGGUCAGUACCUAGAUGUGUGUCUGCAUGAGAAUACCAGGUGCUGUA